GCCAGGCAUGGUGGUGCACGCCUGUAGUCCCAGCUAUUUGGGAGGCUGAGGUGGGAGGAUCGCUUGAGCCCAGGAGGUUGAUGCUGCAGUGAGCUGAGAUUGCAGCACUGCACUCCAGCCUGGGUGACAAAGCAAGACCCCAUCUCAA
ensembl:misc_RNA Metazoa_SRP Metazoan signal recognition particle RNA